CCUACGGGAGGCAGCAGUGGGGAAUUUUGGACAAUGGGCGAAAGCCUGAUCCAGCAAUGCCGCGUGAGUGAAGAAGGCCUUCGGGUUGUAAAGCUCUUUUGUCAGGGAAGAAACGGUGAGGGCUAAUAUCCCUUGCUAAUGACGGUACCUGAAGAAUAAGCACCGGCUAACUACGUGCCAGCAGCCGCGGUAAUACGUAGGGUGCAAGCGUUAAUCGGAAUUACUGGGCGUAAAGCGUGCGCAGGCGGUUUUGUAAGUCUGAUGUGAAAUCCCCGGGCUCAACCUGGGAAUUGCAUUGGAGACUGCAAGGCUAGAAUCUGGCAGAGGGGGGUAGAAUUCCACGUGUAGCAGUGAAAUGCGUAGAUAUGUGGAGGAACACCGAUGGCGAAGGCAGCCCCCUGGGUCAAGAUUGACGCUCAUGCACGAAAGCGUGGGGAGCAAACAGGAUUAGAUACCCUGGUAGUCCACGCCCUAAACGAUGUCUACUAGUUGUCGGUCUUAAUUGACUUGGUAACGCAGCUAACGCGUGAAGUAGACCGCCGUGGGGAGGUACGGUCGCGAGAAGUAAACGUACGAAAGAAGUUAGACGGCGUGAGACGAGACCGACGGACGACGACGAGGGAGGAGG
rnacentral:rRNA from 1 species